rnacentral:rRNA from 1 species
CAGUCGCCACGGUAAUACGUAGGGUGCAAGCGUUAAUCGGAAUUACUGGGCGUAAAGCGUGCGUAGGCGGUGAGUUAAGUCUGCUGUGAAAUCCCCGGGCUCAACCUGGGAAUGGCAGUGGAUACUGGCUCGCUAGAGUGUGUCAGAGGAUGGUGGAAUUCCCGGUGUAGCGGUGAAAUGCGUAGAGAUCGGGAGGAACAUCAGUGGCGAAGGCGGCCAUCUGGGACAACACUGACGCUGAGGCACGAAAGCGUGGGGAGCAAACAGGAUUAGAUACCCCCGUAGUCCCUGUCUCUUAUAC